rnacentral:rRNA from 1 species
GACGAACGCUGGCGGCGUGCCUAAUACAUGCAAGUCGAGCGAAUUUACGAGAGCUUGCUCUCGUAAAUUAGCGGCGGACGGGUGAGUAACACGUGGGCAACCUGCCUAUAAGACUGGGAUAGCUUCGGGAAACCGGAGCUAAUACCGGAUAAUUCACAUCUACUCAUGUAGAUGCGCUGAAAGACGGUUUACGCUGUCACUUAUAGAUGGGCCCGCGGCGCAUUAGCUAGUUGGUGAGGUAACGGCUCACCAAGGCAACGAUGCGUAGCCGACCUGAGAGGGUGAUCGGCCACACUGGGACUGAGACACGGCCCAGACUCCUACGGGAGCAGCAGUAGGGAAUCUUCCGCAAUGGACGAAAGUCUGACGGAGCAACGCCGCGUGAGUGAUGAAGGUUUUCGAUCGUAAACUCUGUUGUUAGGGAAGAACAAGUACCAGAGUAACUGCUGGUACCUUGACGGUACCUAACC